rnacentral:rRNA from 1 species
UACGUAGGGGGCAAGCGUUGUCCGGAAUUAUUGGGCGUAAAGAGCGUGUAGGCGGUCCGGUAAGUCAGCUGUGAAAGUCAAGGGCUCAACCCUUGAAUGCCGGUUGAUACUGUCGGGCUAGAGUCCGGAAGAGGCGAGUGGAAUUCCCGGUGUAGCGGUGAAAUGCGUAGAUAUCAGGAGGAACACCGGUGGCGAAAGCGCUCAUCUGGCCCAAUACUGACGCUGAGGCGCGAAAGCUAGGGGAGCAAACGGG